rnacentral:lncRNA from 1 species
CUGGGAACAAUAACCCAAGCUGCACGCCCGCCCGCCCGUCCGCCUGGCCUGGGCAGGGGCUGCUCCCUGACCCCGCCCCUUUCCACCUCCGGAGCCCUGACUCUAACGUGGUGCGCACAAGAAGGGAGUUUCGCCUCUCUUGCAGUCUCCUGAGUCCUGGGGACCGCUGAGCAGGGCAGGUUGUGGGAUACUUGUCAUUCCAGGAGCAGCAGGCUGCGACAUGGUCCAUUUCUCCUCUGGGAGACCUGAGUGGAACGCUGCGGGGAGGCAAUUUGGGAUGCCAACUGAUCACCCAGCCGGCUGUGGGUCUCCUCGCUUCAGGGAAGCCAGGGUAGUGAUGUAUUUGUGUCCCGGUGAAUACCUCGGGCAUUCUUUGUUCCCUUGGGGAGGCGCUUCCAUAGUGAAGUUCAAAGCACCCGCUCACAAGCCACGUACCCUAAUCCUCUCUCUGAUCUGGAUUUUGUUGUGUAACUAAACUGAUUACAAGACUUUGGCUGGCACUUGGGCUAGGCUGUGUCUUUGGGAUAGCCUCUCACAGGCUUCGUUGCCACGUGGUGAUACACCAGCUGAGGGCCCUGUGACGAUGUGGGGGAGUUUGUGAAGCAGCAAGAAAUCUGGGGCUGGGACCUCACAAUGGCAUUAGCCUACCUCACCCUUGCUAUGCACUGUGGCUUCUCUCUUCUUCCCUAGUCCUUGACGAGCAUCUCAGACCAUACGCGAUGCCAUUCCUGAGCCAGCCUUGUCCAACAACACUGUUCUUCCCACUCCUGUGUCUUUGAUUUCUGGUCUUCUCCAUAGUGGCAGCUCCUACCAAUGCCCAUAUUGUCCCAGCAAUCAGGCUUCUGUCCGAGAACCCAGAAUUCCAUGCCUCUACUGGGUCAAGAAUCUGCCAGCAAACGGCUGAGGAGCCUCAUGCUUGGUCCACUCUUGCCCUUCCACUGCAAACAUGCUAUUCCUAUGCUCUCUACCAGCACCAAUGGUUCUGCCCCCGGGAUGAUGAGCGAGCAGAAUAUUGGACAGACCAGAAGCAGGGCAAGUUCUUGCUGCAUAAAGGAUCUAACAGACAGUCUCCUGUGA